rnacentral:sRNA from 1 species
UACCACAGGGUGCUGCUCCCUGGGCCAACUCCUGUGAACUUGCUCACUUCCCAUGGAGACCGAGGCUGCUCAGAGCUGGGAGAGGCCUGUGCCACUGCUGUCAGCUACAGAGCCUGAUCUUGAGCAUCCUGUCGCAGAUAGAAAGUUAAUCAGAAAAAUCUGGUUGUGCUCUUGGAUUAGCUGGGCAUUUGGGGUAAGGGAGGGACUGCAGAUUCUGAUUUGUACAGAAAACUAAAAUUUCAGUAUGUUGCAAUAAAAUGAAAA